rnacentral:rRNA from 1 species
CAGCCGCCGCGGUAAUACGUAGAUGGCAAGCGUUGUCCGGAAUUAUUGGGCGUAAAUGGCUCGCAGACGGUUUCUUAAGUCUGAUGUGAAAGCCCCCGGCUCAACCGGGGAGGGUCAUUGGAAACUGGGAAACUUGAGUGCAGAAGAGGAGAGUGGAAUUCCACGUGUAGCGGCGAAAUGCGUAGAGAUGUGGAGGAACACCAGUGGCGAAGGCGACUCUCUGGUCUGUAACUGACGCUGAGGAGCGAAAGCGUGGGGAGCGAACAGGAUUAGAUACCCCUGUAGUCCCUGUCUCUUAUAC